CAAGAACUUGCAAAAGAUCAUCAGAAGCUUUGUAGCAACCAAUAUCAAAGAGAGGAUGGUAGUGGCAAUGAGAUUCUUGAUGAAAGUCCUCUUGCUGUUGGAGUCGAUCCUGCUUCAAAGAUUCAGUUGCUUGAGCAUGAACUUGCCAAGGCUAUGGAAGCAAAUUUAAAAUAUAAAGCUGAGCUUGACAGGUUGUCUAAAAGCCGAAACAACCAUGCACACUCCUAAAAAAUCAAUAGCAGAAGAUGACAUAGUGGCAAAAGAAAGUAAUGGACGCACAAAAUCAUCACUAGAGGCAGAGUUAGUAGA